rnacentral:rRNA from 1 species
AGGACGAACGCUGGCGGCGCGCCUAACACAUGCAAGUCGAGCGAUAACCAGGGCUUGCCCUGGGGACAGCGGCGAACGGGUGCGUAACACGUGAGCAACCUGCCCCAAAGACCGGGACAACCCGAGGAAACUCGGACUAAUACCGGAUGCCCUCACCGGGUCGCAUGGUCUGGUGAGGAAAUGGAUUCCGCUUUGGGAUGGGCUCGCGGUCUAUCAGCUUGUUGGUGGGGUAACGGCCUACCAAGGCGACGACGGAUAGCUGGUCUGAGAGGACGAUCAGCCACACUGGGACUGAGACACGGCCCAGACUCCUACGGAGGCAGCAGUGGGGAAUCUUGCGCAAUGGGGGAAACCCUGACGCAGCGACGCCGCGUGCGGGAUGAAGGCCUCGGGUUGUAAACCGCUUUCAGCAGGGACGAAAUUGACGGUACCUGCAGAAGAAGGCCCGGCAACUACGUGCCAGCAGCCGC